rnacentral:snRNA from 1 species
CUGCUCACUUUGGCAACACAUAUACUAAAAUUGGAAUGGUACAGAGAAGAUUAGCAUGGCCCCUGCACAAGGAUGACACAAGAAUUUGUGAAGUGUUCCAUAUAAAA